rnacentral:rRNA from 1 species
UACAGGGGGUGCAAACGUUGCUCGGAAUCAUUGGGCGUAAAGCGCACGUAGGCGGUUCGUUAUGUCGGAUGUGAAAGCCCUUGGCUUAACCGAGGAAGUGCAUCCGAAACUGGCGAGCUAGAGUACUAAAGAGGAUCGCGGAAUUCCCGGUGUAGAGGUGAAAUUCGUAGAUAUUCGGAAGAACACCAGUGGCGAAGGCGGCUCACUGGACCGGUAUUGACGCUGAGACGCGAAAGCGUGGGGAGCGAACAGG